UUGGAGGGCAAGUCUGGUGCCAGCAGCCGCGGUAAUUCCAGCUCCAAUAGCGUAUAUUAAAGUUGUUGCAGUUAAAAAGCUCGUAGUUGAAUUUCGGGAUCAAUUUGUUGGUCGUGCCUCGGUACGUACUGGCAUUAUUGGUUUCUACCUUCUGAAGAACCUUGAUGUCAUUAAUUUGGUGUCUUGGGGAAUCAGGACUGUUACUUUGAAAAAAUUAGAGUGUUUAAAGCAAGCAUACGCUUGAAUACAUUAGCAUGGAAUAAUGAAAUAGGACAUCGCAUUCUAUUUUGUUGGUUUCUAGGAUCGAUGUAAUGAUUAAUAGGGAUAGUUGGGGGCAUUAGUAUUCAAUUGUCAGAGGUGAAAUUCUUGGAUUUAUUGAAGACUAACUACUGCGAAAGCAUUUGCCAAGGAUGUUUUCAUUAAUCAAGAACGAAAGUUAGGGGAUCGAAGACGAUCAGAUACCGUCGUAGUCUUAACCAUAAACUAUGCCGACUAGGGAUCGGAUGAUGUUGAUUUUUUAAUGACUCAUUCGGCGCCUUACGGGAAAC
rnacentral:rRNA from 1 species